rnacentral:rRNA from 1 species
GACGAACGCUGGCGGCGUGCUUAACACAUGCCAGUCGAACGGAAAGGCCCUGCUUUUGUGGGGUGCUCGAGUGGCGAACGGGUGAGUAACACGUGAGUAACCUGCCCUUGACUUUGGGAUAACUUCAGGAAACUGGGGCUAAUACCGGAUAGGAGCUCCUGCUGCAUGGUGGGGGUUGGAAAGUUUCGGCGGUUGUGGAUGGACUCGCGGCUUAUCAGCUUGUUGGUGGGGUAGUGGCUUACCAAGGCUUUGACGGGUAGCCGGCCUGAGAGGGUGACCGGCCACAUUGGGACUGAGAUACGGCCCAGACUCCUACGGGAGGCAGCAGGGGGGAAUAUUGCACAAUGGGCGGAAGCCAGAUGCAGCAACGCCGCGUGCGGGAUGACGGCCUUCGGGUUGUAAACCGCUUUCGCCUGUGACGAAGCGUGAGUGACGGUAAUGGGUAAAGAAGCACCGGCUAACUACGUG